CCUGAUGGUGCGACGCCGCGUGGGGGAUAAGGUCUUCGGAUUGUAAACCCCUGUCAUGUGGGACAUUAAAAAGAUAGUACCACAAGAGGAAGAGACGGCUAACUCUGUGCCAGCAGCCGCGGUAAUACAGAGGUCUCAAGCGUUGUUCGGAAUCACUGGGCGUAAAGCGUGCGUAGGCUGUUUCGUAAGUCGUGUGUGAAAGGCAGGGGCUCAACCCCUGGAUUGCACAUGAUACUGCGAGACUAGAGUAAUGGAGGGGGAACCGGAAUUCUCGGUGUAGCAGUGAAAUGCGUAGAUAUCGAGAGGAACACUCGUGGCGAAGGCGGGUUCCUGGACAUUAACUGACGCUGAGGCACGAAGGCCAGGGGAGCGAAAGGGAUUAG
rnacentral:rRNA from 1 species